rnacentral:tRNA from 1 species
GGGGAUAUAGCUCAUGUGUAGAGCGCUCCCUUAGCAUGGGAGAGUUCUGGGGUUCAAUUCCCCAUAUGUCCA